rnacentral:rRNA from 1 species
UACAGAGGGGGCAAGCGUUGUUCGGAAUUACUGGGCGUAAAGGGCGCGUAGGCGGCCUUCUAAGUCGAACGUGAAAUCCCCGGGCUCAACCCGGGAACUGCGUCCGAUACUGGAAGGCUUGAAUCCGGGAGAGGGAUGUGGAAUUCCAGGUGUAGCGGUGAAAUGCGUAGAUAUCUGGAGGAACACCGGUGGCGAAGGCGACAUCCUGGACCGGCAUUGACGCUGAGGAGCGAAAGCCAGGGGAGCAAACGGG